rnacentral:rRNA from 1 species
CAGCAGCCGCGGUAAUACGUAGGGCGCAAGCGUUGUCCGGAAUUAUUGGGCGUAAAGAGCUCGUAGGCGGUCUGUCGCGUCUGGUGUGAAAUCCCGAGGCUCAACCUCGGGCUUGCAUCGGGUACGGGCAGACUAGAGUGCGGUAGGGGAGACUGGAAUUCCUGGUGUAGCGGUGGAAUGCGCAGAUAUCAGGAGGAACACCGAUGGCGAAGGCAGGUCUCUGGGCCGCAACUGACGCUGAGGAGCGAAAGCAUGGGGAGCGAACAGGAUUAGAUACCCCGGUAGUCCCUGUCUCUUAUAC